ACGUAGGGUGCGAGCGUUGUCCGGAAUUAUUGGGCGUAAAGAGCUCGUAGGCGGUGUGUCGCGUCGGCCGUGAAAACCUGCAGCUUAACUGUGGGCGUGCGGUCGAUACGGGCAUCACUGGAGUUCGGCAGGGGAGACUGGAAUUCCUGGUGUAGCGGUGAAAUGCGCAGAUAUCAGGAGGAACACCGGUGGCGAAGGCGGGUCUCUGGGCCGAUACUGACGCUGAGGAGCGAAAGCGUGGGGAGCAAACAGG
rnacentral:rRNA from 1 species